rnacentral:rRNA from 1 species
UUCCGGUUGAUCCCGCCGGAGGUCACUGCUAUCGGGGUUCGAUUAAGCCAUGCGAGUCGAGAGGGUUCAGACCCUCGGCGGACUGCUCAGUAACACGUGGAUAAUCUGCCCUAUGGUGGAGGAUAACCCCGGGAAACUGGGGAUAAUACUCCAUAAGUCAGGAGUACUGGAAUGUCUCCUAACUGAAAGUUUCGGCGCCAUAGGAUGAAUCUGCGGCCGAUUAGGUAGUUGUUGGGGUAACGGCCCAACAAGCCCGUAAUCGGUACGGGUUGUGGGAGCAAGAGCCCGGAGAUGGAAUCUGAGACACGAUUCCAGGCCCUACGGGGCGCAGCAGGCGCGAAAACUUUACAAUGCAGGAAACUGUGAUAAGGGAACCCCGAGUGCCCGUACACGCGGGCUGUCCCGGUGUUUAAAACACAUCGGAAGAAAGGGCCGGGCAAGACCGGUGCCAGCCGCCGCGGUAAUACCGGCGGCUCGAGUGGUGACCACUUUUAUUGGGCUUAAAGCGUUCGUAGCUUGAUUUUUAAGUCUCUUGGGAAAUCUCACGGCUUAACUGUGAGGCGUCUAAGAGAUACUGGGAAUCUAGGGACCGGGAGAGGUAAGAGGUACUUCAGGGGUAGAAGUGAAAUUCUGUAAUCCUUGAGGGACCACCGAUGGCGAAGGCAUCUUACCAGAACGGCUUCGACAGUGAGGAACGAAAGCUGGGGGAGCGAACGGGAUUAGAUACCCCGGUAGUCCCAGCCGUAAACUAUGCGCGUUAGGUGUGCCUGUAACUACGAGUUACCGGGGUGCCGAAGUGAAAACGUGAAACGUGCCGCCUGGGAAGUACGGUCGCAAGGCUGAAACUUUAAGGAAUUGGCGGGGGAGCACCACAACGGGUGGAGCCUGCGGUUUAAUUGGAUUCAACGCCGGA